rnacentral:rRNA from 1 species
UAGAUCAGAAGCGAGAAUGUUGACAUGAGUAGCGACAAACAGGGUGAGAAACCCUGUCGCCGAAAGUCCAAGGGUUCCUGCUUAAAGCUAAUCUGAGCAGGGUAAGCCGGCCCCUAAGGCGAGGCCGAAAGGCGUAGUCGAUGGGAACCAGGUUAAUAUUCCUGGGCCAGUGGGAUGUGACGGAUCGCAGAUGUAGUUUGCCCUUAUCGGAUUGGGUGGGCUGCUGAGCGGUUCCAGGAAAUAGCCCCACAUCAGACCGUACCCUAAACCGACACAGGUGGACUGGUAGAGUAUACCAAGGCGCUUGAGAGAACCACGUUAAAGGAACUCGGCAAAAUGCCUCCGUAAGUUCGCGAGAAGGAGGCCCCAUAUGUACGCAAGUAUGUGUGGGGGGCACAAACUAGGGGGUGGCGACUGUUUACUUAAAACACAGGGCUGUGCGAAGCCGUAAGGCGACGUAUACAGUCUGACGCCUGCCCGGUGCUGGAAGAUUAAGAGGAGGGGUGCAAGCUCUGAAUUGAAGUCCCAGUAAACGGCGGCCGUAACAAUAACGGUCCUAAGGUAGCGAAAUUCCUUGUCGGGUAAGUUCCGACCUGCACGAAUGGCGUAACGAUCUCCCCGCUGUCUCUAACGUGGACUCAGCGAAAUUGAACUGUGUGUCAAGAUGCACACUACCCGCGGUUAGACGGAAAGACCCCAUGAACCUUUACUCCAGCUUUGCACUGGUAUCAGGAUUGUGAUGUGCAGGAUAGGUGGUAGGCAUUGAAGCGGGGACGCCAGUCUUCGUGGAGCCUCCCUUGAGAUACCACCCUUCGCCAUCUUGAUAUCUAACCGCGGCCCGUUAUCCGGGUCCGGGACCCUGCAUGGUGGGGAGUUUGACUGGGGCGGUCGCCUCCCAAACAGUAACGGAGGCGCGCGAUGGUUGGCUCAGACCGGUCGGAAAUCGGUCGUUGAGUGCAAUGGCAGAAGCCAGCCUGACUGCAAGACUGACAAGUCGAGCAGAGACGAAAGUCGGUCAUAGUGAUCCGGUGGUCCCAAGUGGGAGGGCCAUCGCUCAACGGAUAAAAGGUACUCUGGGGAUAACAGGCUGAUGAUGCCCAAGAGUCCAUAUCGACGGCAUCGUUUGGCACCUCGAUGUCGGCUCAUCUCAUCCUGGGGCUGGAGCAGGUCCCAAGGGUAUGGCUGUUCGCCAUUUAAAGAGGUACGUGGGCUGGGUUUAGAACGUCGUGAGACAGUUCGGUCCCUAUCUGCCGUGGGUGCAGGAGACUUGAGAAGAGUUGACCCUAGUACGAGAGGACCGGGUUGAACGAACCACUGGUGGACCAGUUAUCGUGCCAACGGUAGUGCUGGGUAGCUAUGUUCGGACAGGAUAACCGCUGAAGGCAUCUAAGCGGGAAGCCCCCUUCAAAACAAGGUCUCCCUUGAGGGCCGUGGAAGACGACCACGUCGAUAGGCCAGAGGUGCAAGUGCAGCAAUGCAUUCAGCUGACUGGUACUAAUUGCCCGAAAG